AGAGUUUGAUCCUGGCUCAGGACGAACGCUGGCGGCGUGCCUAACACAUGCAAGUCGAGCGGACCGAACCGAUUAGCUUGCUAAUUGGGGAGGUUAGCGGCGGACGGGUGAGUAACGCGUGGGUAAUCUACCCUGUAGACCGGGAUAACAGCGGGAAACUGCUGCUAAUACCGGGUACGCUUAAACGCCGAAAGGUGAUUAAGGAAAGGUGGCCUCUGGAACAAGCUACCGCUACAGGAUGAGCCUGCGUCCCAUUAGCUAGUUGGUAGGGUAAUGGCCUACCAAGGCGACGAUGGGUAGCCGGCCUGAGAGGGUGACCGGCCACACUGGGACUGAGACACGGCCCAGACUCCUACGGGAGGCAGCAGUGGGGAAUAUUGCGCAAUGGGGGGAACCCUGACGCAGCAACGCCGCGUGAGCGAAGAAGGCCUUCGGGUCGUAAAGCUCUGUCAAGUGGGACGAAGUCUAUGGGGUGAAGAACCCUAUAGGUGACGGUACCACUAGAGGAAGCCCCGGCUAACUA
rnacentral:rRNA from 1 species